GCGUGCUGUUGUCACGGAGACGUGGUUGUGGACAAGCUCUUGUUGUGAUUCCUCAGGAGAGCCGGACAGAAGGAUUAUGAGACAGGAAAGUGACACCCGUAAAAGACACAAUAAAAGCCCCAGAAUGCCGAUAAAACCCGUUAAACCUGAUAAAACCCCUUUAGAAGUCCAGAAUACUAAAAAACACAAAAAGGUCAGAAGCAGCUGAUGACUUGAGGUCAACUGAGACGAGCAGGAGGAUUAUGGUGAUGAAGGUCUCCUCUCUCUCUCCUUGUUUUUACUACAACGCUCUCUGUGAAUGUAAGACACACUCACACACACACACACACACACACACCCUGACACGUGUGUGUCGUCUGUUUCAUUUCCUGACUCACUAUCGUUUUUCUCUGCAGUCGUCAAAAUAGGAUUAGAGCGUUUAAUAAAGGAUGAUUCCCACCAUGAGGAAAUGACUCCACUGUACAACACACACACAGACACACACACACACACACACACACACACACACACACACACACACACACACCUCAGCGUCUUCACUGCUCAGCCACUCAGUUUCCACCAGGUUAUUAAACACCUGAAGGCUUAUAUAAGCUUGCAUACAUACACACGGAUGCUACUGCUCCUCCACACACGCUGCAGCCUCACCCUCCAUGAAUGUGGUGGUGGUGUGUGGUGUUAGGUGGUGUUUGGUGGUGUGUGGUGUUAGGUGGUGUUUGGUGGUGUGUGGUGGUGUUGGGUGGUGUGGUGGUGUUGGGUGGUGUGGUGGUGUUAUGUGGUGUUGGGUGGUG
ensembl:lncRNA